rnacentral:rRNA from 1 species
CCCUUAGAUGUCCUGGGCUGCACGCGCGCUACACUGAUGUGUCCAGUAAGCACCUAACCUCUUCCGAAAGGAACGGGUAACCUUUGCAAAGCACAUCGUGAUGGGGAUAGAUUAUUGCAAUUAUUAGUCUUGAACGAGGAAUUCCUAGUAAGCACAAGUCAUCAGCUUGUGUUGAUUACGUCCCUGCCCUUUGUACACACCGCCCGUCGCUCCUACCGAUUGAAUGUUCCGGUGAGCUCUUCGGACUGCGCGGUCUGCAGUUUCUGCGUUCCGUGCGGAAAGUUGCGCAAACCUUAACAUUUAGAGGAAGGAGAAAUCGUAACA